AUUGAACGCUGGCGGCAGGCCUAACACAUGCAAGUCGAGCGGUAACACAGGGAGCUUGCUCCCGGGUGACGAGCGGCGGACGGGUGAGUAAUGACUGGGAAACUGCCUGAUGGAGGGGGAUAACUACUGGAAACGGUAGCUAAUACCGCAUAACGUCGCAAGACCAAAGAGGGGGACCUUCGGGCCUCUUGCCAUCAGAUGUGCCCAGAUGGGAUUAGCUAGUAGGUGGGGUAAUGGCUCACCUAGGCGACGAUCCCUAGCUGGUCUGAGAGGAUGACCAGCCACACGGGAACUGAGACACAGACCAGACUCGUACGGGAGGCAGCAGUGGGGAAUAUUGCACAAUGGGCGCAAGCAUGAUGCAGCCAUGCCGCGUGUAUGAAGAAGGCCUUCGGGUUGUAAAGUACUUUCAGCGGGGAGGAAGGUGCUGAGGUUAAUAACCUCAGCAAUUGACGUUACCCGCAGAAGAAGCACCGGCUAACUCCGUGCCAGCAGCCGCGGUAAAAC
rnacentral:rRNA from 1 species